CCUACGGGUGGCUGCAGUGGGGAAUAUUGCACAAUGGGCGCAAGCCUGAUGCAGCCAUGCCGCGUGUGUGAAGAAGGCCUUCGGGUUGUAAAGCACUUUCAGCGGGGAGGAAGGCGGUGAGGUUAAUAACCUCAUCGAUUGACGUUACCCGCAGAAGAAGCACCGGCUAACUCCGUGCCAGCAGCCGCGGUAAUACGGAGGGUGCAAGCGUUAAUCGGAAUUACUGGGCGUAAAGCGCACGCAGGCGGUCUGUCAAGUCGGAUGUGAAAUCCCCGGGCUCAACCUGGGAACUGCAUUCGAAACUGGCAGGCUAGAGUCUUGUAGAGGGGGGUAGAAUUCCAGGUGUAGCGGUGAAAUGCGUAGAGAUCUGGAGGAAUACCGGUGGCGAAGGCGGCCCCCUGGACAAAGACUGACGCUCAGGUGCGAAAGCAUGGGGAGCAAACAGGAUUAGAUACCCUAGUAGUC
rnacentral:rRNA from 1 species